GUAGGAGCGAGGCUUGCCCGCGAUAGCGUCCGUUCAGGCAACCCGCGUUGCCUGGAUCGCGGGCAAGCCUCGCUCCUAC
rnacentral:misc_RNA from 1 species